rnacentral:rRNA from 1 species
AUCAUUACUGGGUCACAGGGCGCUUCUGCGCCCUACACCAACCCUUCGUUUCCCGCCCGUCCUUUGGCGCUAAAGGAGGGCUCCCGUAAGGGAGGCCUCUGCCAAACGUAACCCUGAACAACGGUGUAGCCUGAAGUAAAAAGCAAAUAGUUAAAACUUUCAACAACGGAUCUCUUGGUUCUGGCAACGAUGAAGAACGCAGCGAAAUGCGAUAAGUAAUGUGAAUUGCAGAAUUCAGUGAAUCAUCGAAUCUUUGAACGCACAUUGCGCCCCCUGGUAUUCCGGGGGGCACACCUGUUCGAGCGCCAUUUCACCUCUCAAGCCUCGCUUGGUGAUGGGCUCAGCCCGCGGGCGGGCCCGAAACUCGUGGGCGUCGACGACCGGCUCCAAGCGUAGCAAAACCCUCGCUUCGGAACCCCGGUUGGCGGUCGCCCCGGACCUCAAAGUCUUUCACAAGGUUGGCCUCGGAUCAGGUGGGGAUACCCGCUGAACUUAAGCAUAUCAAUAAGCGGAGGAAAGGG